rnacentral:rRNA from 1 species
GUCUACGGCCAUACCACCCUGAACGCGCCCGAUCUCGUCUGAUCUCGGAAGCUAAGCAGGGUCGGGCCUGGUUAGUACUUGGACGGGAGACCGCCUGGGAAUACCGGGUGCUGUAGGCUUU